CAGCUGCGAAGUAUGCAUAGUGUUCUUGGUGGGUCUCCUUGCCUGGAGGGAGAAGAAUGGUGCCUGGCUCUGUCCUGCUCCCACCCCUUUCUUCGUGACAUGCCCUGCCCCAACAGGUGGUGAAAGCCUAUGAUCAUCAGACCCAGGAGCUUGUGGCCAUCAAGAUCAUCAAGAACAAAAAGGCUUUCCUGAACCAGGCCCAGAUUGAGCUGCGGCUGCUAGAGCUGAUGAACCAGCAUGACACGGAGAUGAAGUACUAUAUAGUACACCUGAAGCGGCACUUCAUGUUCCGGAACCACCUGUGCCUGGUGUUUGAGCUGCUGUCCUACAACCUGUACGACCUCCUGCGCAACACCCACUUCCGCGGCGUCUCGCUGAACCUGACCCGGAAGCUGGCGCAGCAGCUCUGCACGGCACUGCUCUUUCUGGCCACGCCUGAGCUCAGC
rnacentral:sRNA from 1 species